GGAUGUGAGGGCGAGCUGGCUGCGACAUCUGUCACCCCACUGAUCACCAGGGUUGAUUCGGCUGAUCUGGCUGGCUAGGCGGGUGUCCCCUUCCUCCCUCACUGCUCCAUGUGCUUCCCUCCCGAAGCUGCGCGCUGGGUAGAAGAGGACGAUCUUCCCCGCUAGAGGAGGACCGGUCUUCAGUCAAGGGUAUACGAGUAGCUGCGCUCCCCUGCUAGAACCUCCAAACAAGCUCUCAAGAUUUCAUCUUGCUAUUCACAAUAGUAUGCAAUUUAAAACCAAGGAUUUUUUUUUUAUUUCUGUAACUUUUCAUUAUUUCCAG
rnacentral:snRNA from 1 species